CGAGCGAACGCUGCGGCAGGCUUAACACAUGCAAGUCGAGCGGGCGUAGCAAUACGUCAGCGGCAGACGGGUGAGUAGCGCGUGGGAACGUACCUUUUGGUUCGGAACAACNCAGGGAAACUUGUGCUAAUACCGGAUAAGCCCUUACGGGGAAAGAUUUAUCGCCGAAAGAUCGGCCCGCGUCUGAUUAGCUAGUUGGUGAGGUAACGGCUCACCAAGGCGACGAUCAGUAGCUGGUCUGAGAGGAUGAUCAGCCACAUUNGGACUGAGACACGGCCCAAACUCCUACGGGAGGCAGCAGUGGGGAAUAUUGGACAAUGGGCGCAAGCCUGAUCCAGCCAUGCCNNNNGAGUGAUGAAGGCCCUAGGGUUGUAAAGCUCUUUUGUGCGGAAGAUAAUGACGUACCGCA
rnacentral:rRNA from 1 species